rnacentral:rRNA from 1 species
CCUACGGGAGACAGCAGUGAGGAAUAUUGGUCAAUGGACGCAAGUCUGAACCAGCCAUGCCGCGUGCAGGAAGACGGCUCUAUGAGUUGUAAACUGCUUUUGUACGGGGGUAAACGCAGAUAAGCGCAUCUGUCUGAAAGCAUCGUACGAAUAAGGCUCGGCUAACUCCGUGCCAGCAGCCGCGGUAAUACGUAGGAUUCAAGCGUUAUCCGGAUUUAGUGGGUUUAAAGGGUGCGUAGGCGGUCGGAUAAGUCAGAGGUGAAAUCCCGAGGCUCAACUCCGGAAUUGCCUCUGAUACUGUUCGGCUAGAGAGUAGUUGCGGUAAGCGGAAUGUAUGGUGUAGCGGUGAAAUGCUUAGAGAUCAGACAGAACACCGAUUGCGAAGGCAGCUUACCAAGCUACUUCUGACGUUGAGGCACGAAAGCGUGGGGAGCAAACAGGAUUAGAUACCCUUGUAGUC